GGGACGAACGCUGGCGGCGUGCUUAACACAUGCAAGUCGAGCGGUAAGGCCUUUCGGGGUACACGAGCGGCGAACGGGUGAGUAACACGUGGGUGAUCUGCCCUGCACUCUGGGAUAAGCCUGGGAAACUGGGUCUAAUACCGGAUAUGACCUGCUCUCGCAUGGGGGGUGGGUGGAAAGAUUUAUCGGUGCAGGAUGGGCCCGCGGCCUAUCAGCUUGUUGGUGGGGUAAUGGCCUACCAAGGCGACGACGGGUAGCCGACCUGAGAGGGUGACCGGCCACACUGGGACUGAGACACGGCCCAGACUCCUACGGGAGGCAGCAGUGGGGAAUAUUGCACAAUGGGCGAAAGCCUGAUGCAGCGACGCCGCGUGAGGAUGAAGGCCUUCGGGUUGUAAACCUCUUUCAGCAGGACGAAGCGCAAGUGACGGUACCUGCAGAAGAAGCACCGGCUAACUACGUGCCAGCAGCCGC
rnacentral:rRNA from 1 species